UGAUGAAGUUGGCAAACUGAACUUCCUACAGUCCCAGCAUAUUUAUACAAGGCAGAAAAACAACAGUUGACUAAUUCUAAACGAAAUUUCCUUGUUGGAAAACCUUUGGUCCAGGAUGCUAAUAAACUUCCUACAGUCCCAGCUUAUUUAUACAAGGCAGAAAAAAAACAAUUGACUAAUUCUAAACGAAAUUUCCUUGUUGGAAAACCUUUGGUCCAGAAUGCUAAUAAACUUCCUACAGUCCCAGCUUAUCUAUACAAGGCAGAAAAAAAACGGUUGACUAAUUCUAAACGAAAUUUCCUUGUUGGAAAACCUUUGGUCCAGGAUGCUAUUAAGGCCAACCGAAGUUGAGAUUUUUAGAGUCCAACCAAAGAUGAGAUUUGCUCAAUAUUUCUUCGAAGAUUGAUCAUUGAAGAUAAUCGUCUUAAUUUUUAGAAGUUUUGUUCUGUCGCUUUAAUAUUUUUAUUUUAUUUUGAUGUUGACAAAUUAAUUUUUAAUUUUUAUGCACAUUUCUAUUUAAAUGGUUGUUUUUAAAACUUUGUCAUUUUUUAAAGUUGUUUAGGAAAGAUUUUUCAAUUACCAA
rnacentral:misc_RNA from 1 species